CAUGCAGUCGAACGAACUCUGGUAUUGAUUGGUGCUUGCAUCAUGAUUUACAUUUGAGUGAGUGGCGAACUGGUGAGUAACACGUGGGAAACCUGCCCAGAAGCGGGGGAUAACACCUGGAAACAGAUGCUAAUACCGCAUAACAACUUGGACCGCAUGGUCCGAGCUUGAAAGAUGGCUUCGGCUAUCACUUUUGGAUGGUCCCGCGGCGUAUUAGCUAGAUGGUGGGGUAACGGCUCACCAUGGCAAUGAUACGUAGCCGACCUGAGAGGGUAAUCGGCCACAUUGGGACUGAGACACGGCCCAAACUCCUACGGGAGGCAGCAGUAGGGAAUCUUCCACAAUGGACGAAAGUCUGAUGGAGCAACGCCGCGUGAGUGAAGAAGGGUUUCGGCUCGUAAAACUCUGUUGUUAAAGAAGAACAUAUCUGAGAGUAACUGUUCAGGUAUUGACGGUAUUUAACCAGAAAGCCACGGCUAACUACGUGCCAGCAGCCGCGGUAAUACGUAGGUGGCAAGCGUUGUCCGGAUUUAUUGGGCGUAAAGCGAGCGCAGGCGGUUUUUUAAGUCUGAUGUGAAAGCCUUCGGCUCAACCGAAGAAGUGCAUCGGAAACUGGGAAACUUGAGUGCAGAAGAGGACAGUGGAACUCCAUGUGUAGCGGUGAAAUGCGUAGAUAUAUGGAAGAACACCAGUGGCGAAGGCGGCUGUCUGGUCUGUAACUGACGCUGAGGCUCGAAAGUAUGGGUAGCAAACAGGAUUAGAUACCCUGGUAGUCCAUACCGUAAACGAUGAAUGCUAA
rnacentral:rRNA from 2 species